rnacentral:rRNA from 1 species
CCUACGGGAGGCUGCAGUGGGGAAUAUUGGGCAAUGGGCGCAAGCCUGACCCAGCAACGCCGCGUGAAGGAAGAAGGCUUUCGGGUUGGAAACUUCUUUUUAGAGGGAAGAGCAGAAGACGAUACCUCUUGAAUAAGCCACGGCUAACUACGUGCCAGCAGCCGCGGUAAUACGGAGGUGGCAGGCGUUGUCCGGAUUUACUGGGUGUAAAGGGCGUGCAGCCGGCAAGACAAGUCAGAUGUGAAAUCCCGCGGCUCAACCGCGGCACUGCAGUUGAAACUGUUGUUCUUGAGUACGGGGGAGGCAGUCGGAAUUCCUUGUGUAGCGGUGAAAUGCGUAGAUAUAAGGAAGAACACCAGUGGCGAAGGCAGAUGGCUGGACCGGAACUGACGGUGAUGCGCGAAAGCGCGGGUAGCGAACAGGAUUAGAUACCCGUGUAGUC